rnacentral:hammerhead_ribozyme from 1 species
GCACUGCUGAGGAGUCCCAUACCAGGACGCAAUGGCCAUCCAGUGC